rnacentral:rRNA from 1 species
UAGGGAAUCUUCCACAAUGGACGCAAGUCUGAUGGAGCAACGCCGCGUGAGUGAAGAAGGCUUUCGGGUCGUAAAACUCCGUUAUUGAAGAAGAACGUGUGUGACAGUAACUGGUCAUGCAGUGACGGUAUUCAAUCAGAAAGUCACGGCUAACUACGUGCCAGCAGCCGCGGUAAUACGUAGGUGGCAAGCGUUGUCCGGAUUUAUUGAGCGUAAAGCGAGUGCAGGCGGUCUUUUAAGUCUGAUGUGAAAGCCUUCGGCUUAACCGAAG